rnacentral:lncRNA from 1 species
CAAAGCGCCCUUUGCGGGUUUUCGACUUGGCAUCUCCAUUUCUUUAUUUCUUUAUUUAUUUUUUUCUCAAAGCGCCAUUUGCGGGUUUUCACCUUGGCCUCUCCCUUUUUAGGUGAAAUACUUCUUGACGAAAUCCGAAUUCACAGGAUUAAGCAAGUUUUUACCAUCCAUCUCGGCUAGAAUCAAUGCUCCUCCAAAAAAGGCUUUUUUUACCACAUAAGGUCUUUCCCAGUUUGGCAUCCAUUUCCCUCUGAAAUCUUUUUGUAUUGGAAGGAUCUUUUUCAAAACUAGAUCUCUCUCUUAUUAUAAGCUCGCAUCAUUCAUUUUUGUACAUCUGACCAUGAGGGAUAGCCCUUAGACUCUUUUCUUCAAUCAAAUUCAACUGAUCGUAUCGAGACUAGAUCUAUUCUGCUUUAUCUAACUUCACUUUUGACAAAACUAUGAGGGAAGGAAUCUUGACCUCUAUGGGUAAAACCGCCUCUAUUCCAUAAACCAGUGAGAAAGGCGUUGCCUCGGUAGAGGUCCUAACAGACGUUCGAUAAGCAUAGAGGGUGAAUGGUAGCUUCUCAUGCUAAUCUCUAUAAGUUUCAGUCAUCUUCCUCACAAUUUUCUUAAUGUUCUUAUUGGCUGCUUCCAUCAUACCAUUCAUUUUUGGGCGAUACGGCGACGAGUUGUGGUGUUUGAUCUUGAACUGGUUACAAACCUCAGCUAUUGUGAUGUUGUUCAAAUUCAAAGUAUUUUCUGAUAUGAUCCUUUCUGGCAUUCCAUAUUGACAUAUGAUCUCUUUCUUCAAGAACUUACUGACUGCCGACUUUGUGACACUGGCAUAUGAAGCGGCUUCCACCCAUUUAGUGAAGUAAUCGAAGACCACGAAGAUAAAUCGAUACCUAUUGGAAGCUUUUGGUGAUAUCGACCCAAUCACAUCCAUGCCCCACAUAGAGAAAAACCAUGGGGAAGUCAUAACUUGAAGAGGUGAAGGAGACACAUGAAUAUUGUCUCCAUAGAUUUGACACUUAUAACAUCUCUUGGCGUAGUUAAUACAAUCCCCUUCCAUGGUGGACCAGUAAUAACCAAAUCUCAUAAUUUGCCUAGCCAUUGUAAAGCCGUUAGCGUAUGUCCCACAGACGCCCUCAUAGACUUCUUCCAGAAUUUUCUUGGCCUCUACAGCGUCCAUACAUCUUAAUAUUACUUGAUUAUUUCUUCUUUUGUAUAGGAUCUCCCCAUCUAAGACAUAGUCAAUGGCCAACCUUCUUAACGUCCUUUUUUCAGUCUCGAUUACCUGGUCCAAGUACUCACGAUUCUUCACAUAUCGUAAUAUAUCGUGAUACCAAGGGUGAUCAUCUUUUUCUUCUUUUUCGUCAAUGUUGCAACAAUAAGCUGGAGCCUCAUAAACACUCAUUUGGAUAGGCUUCAUGUCCUCUUGUUUGUUUACUUUGAUCAUAGAAGCUAAGGUGGCCAAGGAGUCAGCCAUCUGGUUCUCAUCUCGUGGGAGGUAGCAGAAAGUGAUGUCAUCAAACUCUUCCAUUAACUCCAAAAAUAUCUUUCGAUAAUUGAUUAAUUUUGGAUCUCUUGUCUCUUAUUUGCCUUUGAGCUGAUAGAUUACUAGUGCAGAAUCCCUAUAUACCUCUAGCACUUUGAUCUUUCGUUCUAUGGCUGCACAGAUACCCAUGAUACAUGCUUCGUACUCUGCCAUAUUAUUUGUGCAAUCAAAAUUUAGUUUGCUGGUGAAGGGCUAAUGAUCUCCGUUUAGGGACACCAAGACUGCCCCGAUUCUAUUACCUACUGCAUUUGAGGCUUUAUCGAAAUUUAACUUCCAAUGGUGGUUUUCCUGAGGGUCAUUUUUAGUGGCUGCAACGUACAUCAAGUCUUCAUUUGGGAAAUCAAAGUUUAAGGGUUCGUAAUCUUCCAAAGCUUUACUGGCCAGAAAAUUUACUAUCGUACUCCCUUUUAUGGUAUUUUGGUUCACAUAGACUAUGUCAAAUUCGAAAAGCAGAAUUUGCCAUUGGGCCAUCCUUUCAUUCAACACUGUUGACUCCAUCAUGUAUUUCAGAGGGUCCAGUUUCGAGAUGAGCCAAGUGGUGUGAUACAACAUAUACUGUCUUAGCCUUCGGCUUAUCCAGACCAAGGCACAACACAACCUCUCGAUUGGUGAGUACCUUGUCUCACAUUCAGUGAACUUUUUACUAAGAUAGUAAAUAGUUUUUUCUUUCCUUCACGACUCAUCGUGCUGGCUGAGUACACAUCCCAUGGAAUUUUCGAAUACCAUCAAAUACAAUAUCAAUAAUUUAUCUAGGUUGGGUGGCAUUAGCACCGGGGUAUUGGAAAAGUACUGUUUGACCUUGUCAAAAGUCUUUUGGCAUUCUUCGUACCAUACACCUGGGUUGUGUUUCUUAAGGAGACGAAAAAUGGGGUCACAUUUAUCGGUUAGUUGUGAAAUGAACCGAGCGAUGUAAUUUAGUCUUUCUAGAAAUCCUCAAACUUCUUUUUGGGUACGCGGUGGAGGCGACUCUUGUAUGGCUUUGACCUUGUCUGGGUCGAUCUCUAUCCCUUUCUCACUAACCACAAAUCCUAGUAGUUUCUCGGACCUAGCUCCAAAGGUACAUUUUACUGGAUUGAGUUUUAGCUAAAACUUUCUCAAUCUUAAGAAUAAUUUUCUCAGGACUUGUACAUGCUCCUUCUUUAUUCGGGACUUUACAAUCAUAUCGUCGACAUAAACUUCAAUUUCUUUGUGCAUCAUGUCAUGAAAGAGGGUUACCAUGACCCUUUGGCAUGUUGCUCCCGCAUUUUUCAGUCCAAAUGGCAUCACCUUGUAGCAAAAUGUUCCCCACACGGUUACAAAUGUGGUAUUCUCUAUGUCUUCAGGAUGCAUCUUUAUCUGAUUGUAUGCCAAGAAACCAUCCAUAAAGGAGAAUAGUGAGUAAUCCACUGUGUUGUCUAUCAAGGUAUCAAUGUGGGGCAGUGGGAAGUUAUCUUUUGGGCUAGCUUUAUUCAAAUCUCUAUAGUCUACACACAUUCGUACUUUUCUAUCCUUUUUAGAGACGGAGACGAUGUUGGCUACCCAUUUUGAGUAUUUUACCACCUUUAGAAAUCUGGUGUCGAACUAUUUUUUAACCUCUUCUUUUAUUUUUAACAAGAAGCCGUGCCUCAUCCUUCAGAGUUUUUACUGAACUAGCUUACAUUCUUCCUUUGUGGGGAGUCGAUGUACCAUAAUAUCAGUGUUUAACCCGGGCAUGUCUUGGUAUAACCAUGCGAAGACAUCCUUGAAUUUUUGAAGUAAUUCAAUAAGGUCUCGCUUCAUUUCUGCGGUGAUACCAGCUCCGAUUUUCACUUCUUUCUCUUCUCCUAAACUCACGAUUUCUACUGAAUCCUUGUGAGGUAAGAUUUGUUUAUCAUCUUGUUCUACCAUCCUCAACAAAUUAGGAGAUAGGUCACAAUCUAGGUCAUCUUCAAAACCCUGAGAAUCAUCUAUACACAUAUCUCACUCAAAAGGAGACUCUGAAUCAUUAGCAUCGUCGCUCAUAUCGUUAAUAUCCGGGGACCUGUUAUGGAGGUGAAGGAAAAAAAUCCAAAGAAAAAAAGACUCUAAGAAUAAUUAUUUGUAUGGUAUGAUUAUGAAUGAAGAAUAAAAGAAUAUUUGAAGGAAAGUCCAAAGACAAAAGAAUCUAAGAAUAAUUAUUUGCACAGUGUAAUUACGAAUGAAAAGAAUGAAAGAAUAUCCACUCAAAAAUGAUAGCAAAUAUGUAUUUUAUUGAAAUAGUGAUUUUGAACAAAGACCUAUUUCACAAAAAUUAUUCUUAUUACUCCUAGGCCUAGAGUAAUAAGUGUGUUUUGAACAUUACUCUGUAUUAAUUCUAAAGACUAUAGGAAUCUCUUCCGCAGCCCAAUUGUUCAGAACACUUCUCGGCUCAUAAGGGCGAAUGCCCUACAAAUUCUCUCCUCUAGUCCCUUCUUCAUAUGUGGCGUUGAUGUCCAAAUUUUCCAACGUUCCUUCUAUGGCUUCCUUCUUUGGCGUCUCCCGUUUAGGGUGAAUGAUUCCUCUAGACACAAAACUCUUUGAUAUAUGGAGAAAGAUCAUUGGUUCUCAUUUGAUCUCCUCCCCGUUCAAUCGUGCUUUCCUUCUCUCUUGCUUCUUUUCUAGUUCUUUCUUUCUUUGUCUCGCAUCCGGCUUAAAUCCUAAGCUGAAGCGGUCUUGUUUGUCUUUCAUCAUUGAUGCCUUAAUCCUUUCUUGGAGAUGUCUCCCGAUUCAUCUUCCUGAUAAGGCCUCUUUCCCAACAGUUAGCUGCAAGCCCAUUUUUGUAGUCCUGGAUAUCUUUGGCACUAGGAUCUUAUUCCCUUCGGUAAUGAAUGUCCCAUUCACAAAUUUCAAAGACCAAAAGGAACAUUCGGUUGCUUCAUCGUUUACCUCUAGAUACGGAGCGUCACUGGUCACUGCUGCGAUGAUGUCCUCUUCAGCAUUUAUCGUCAAUAGCCGUCCUUCCGUUACCAGUUUCAACUUUUGGUGCAGCAAUGAAGGCAUAGCCGUCCUUCUUUCUAUGCCAUCGAAUGCCUUCACUAUACUUUGGCAGACUUUCAUGUGAGAGCUAUCCACGGGCAAUCUGUUUAGUAUGGAUAAUGGUAGGACAUUCAGGGCCGAUCCAUUUUCAAUCAACACCCCCGAUAGCAUAUACCCCUUGCAACGGGUGGUGAUGUGUAGAGCCUUAGUCGAUCACAUGCCACCGGGUAGUAUCUCGUCAUCAUUGAAGAAGAUGAAGUUAUCGGUACUUAUGUUGCUAACCAAGUGGUCUAGCUUGUUGACGAAGAUUUUAUUAGCGACAUACGUUUCGUUUAAAACUUUCAUCAGCGUGCUACGAUGGACUUCUGAACUUAGGAGUAAGGCUAGCAUCGAGAUACGAUCUGGUUGUUUACGCAGCUGCUCCACAACACUAUACUUGCUGUGCUUUAGAAAUUUUAGAAAUUCUUUAGCCUCCUCUUCAUUGACCGGCUCGUUAAUAGGAGGUUCAGGUCUGGCUGUUCUUUCUUUCUUCUGUUCGACCGCUGUAGCUUUUCCUUUUGUGGGUUCCACUCUUGCGUUUACUAAAUCAUAGCACCUUUCGCUAAACGUAUAAGAACCCACAUCUUGGUCCUCCUUUGAAGUGCCAGUUGGGUUCUCUUUUCCCAAGAUCGUUACGUUAUAGUCGUAAUUUCAUAGGACCCUCUUGCUGUCUUUAUAAGGGAAGACUGUUGGUUUUUGGAUUAUGACUUUUGGUGGCAUUCGCACUCCCGCUUCAUUUCUGUUGGUUCGUAAUAUGAUGACUACUAGGUAAUUAACUUUUUGGACUUGCGCUGUCGAUUCUCCUUCUGACGUGCAUAUAUUUCCCUAUUCGGGUCUUUUAACCUCUUCAUAAAACUCUAUUUUUUUGUUGUUCAUCAUGUCUUGCACUAGGGCCCUAAACUCCCUGCACUCUUGGAUUUCAUACCCCACUUCAUUAUGGAACUCAUAGUAGUUCCACUUUUCUUCAGGUCUCUUUUCCGAAUCCAAUACGAUUAACACUAUUUUCAUCAUCUCUUUCCAAACCCAUUUCAAAGGGGUUUUAACUUCAGCAACCUCAUAUUUGACCUUCUUACUCCCAUUUUCAUUUAUCCUGUUUACCCCUUGGUCGGUUGAUUGGGUAGUGGGUUUCCUGCUACAUUGGGUGCAGAUGGGUCGUCAAACUUCACAAUCCCCAUUUUAAUAAAUCUUUCAAUUAACUUUUUGAAUGCAGUGCAAUUUUCAAUUGAAUAUCCAGUGAUUUCAGCGCGGUAUUCACAUUGAGCAUUUGCGUCAUACCAUUUGGGAUAUAGGGGUUGCAUUGGUUUUAAGUAGAAGAGAGACACUACGUGCGCAUCGAAUAGAUUCUAAUACAGCUCCCUAUACGUCAUGGGUAUAGGCAUGAACUGUAGUCUUUCUGUGUUUGUCCUCGUAUUGGACUCUUGUCUCGGGGUGCUCUAAUGGUUAGCUAUUACCAUCUUAGGUUGGCUCACUGUAAACGACUUGGAAUAACCUUUACUAUACGUGCUCAUGUUGUUCACCUAAUUCUCCCUUUUCUUUGGGGCUGAUCUUUUAGUACUUUCCUCUAUAUCUAUUUUGCCGCUCCUUACCGUGUUCUCGAUCAUUUCGCUGGUCAUCACUAUAUCUGAGAAGCUUUUGGUGGCGCUCCCCAAUAUAUGAGUGAUAAUGAAGCCUUUAAAAUAUUGAUAAAUAGCAUGGUGGUCUCUUUUUCUAGGAGAGGUGGCUGGACUUGUAUAGUAACCUCCCUCCACAUUUAGGCAUAUUUUCGAAAGCUCUAAUUCGGUUUCUUUUUCAUGUUCUGCAAGAUGAUCCUAUCCAGGGUCAUAUCCAUCACGUGACUAUACUAUUUCAUGAAAGCUUGAGCUAGGUCCUUCCAUGAGUUGAUCUUAGUACAACUCGAUGCUGCCCCAAUCAGACUUUCCUGAAAGCAGUGAAUCAAUAGUUGAACAUUGUUGACGUACCCAGUCAUUAGUCUAAAAAACAUGGUAAUAUGAGCUUCAGGGCAGCUAGUCUCAUUGUACUUCUCGAACUCAGGAGUUUUGAACUUGGGGGGAAGCACCAGGUCCAGAACCAAGCUCAAAUCUUUAGCAUCGAUCCCACAGUGAUAGUCAGCAUUUUCCAUUGCUUUGAACUUCUCCUCCAACCACUUGCAUCAGUCUUCCAAUUGUUUUGGAAGCUUAGCUCUCGCUUUUUCGGCCUCCACCAUGUCAUCCAGAUCAGGGACUAUGGGAUUAGUUGGGUUAUCUCCUAAAUUAGAGCCUAAGCCUGUUUGAUAGUUAAUUGGCAUUAAAGCACCGACCUGAAAUUGUUGGAGUCUGAUUGUAACGGAUGGCCUUCGCAUGCAUACUUCGGCUUGUGUCUGAACGUUUAUCAGGGUAAAACUAGGAGGGUAAAGAGGAUCUUCAUUUUCAUCUAUAAUAUUGACUAUAGUGCCUUUUCCUUUCUCCUAUCCCCUAGUCUGCAGUUGUGUUAGCUGGUUCAUCAUGUUCCUUUUUGAUUUCAGCAUUUGGUUCCUCAUAUCUUGCUGGAUUUUUGCCAAUUUCUCUUGCAUUUAUGCUUGCAUCUAUUCUUGCAUCUCCUUCUUCAUUUGUUCCAACAUUUCUAUUCUUUUAUCCAUCGCUUUAGUGUUUCUUCUUGUACCGUAAGGAUACGUACUUGGUAGAUUUUUGUCGAUUUCUAGAUUACUGAAAUGAUUUUUUAACUUAUGGUCUUUUUGUGAAAAUUAAUGCAUAUGAUGUGAUGAAAUGCAAAUGCAUGAAUGCAGAAAAAAGAGGCGUCGACUUUGAUUCAAUUCCAUUUAGAACAACUUUACUAGAAAACAAAAUUCUUUACUUAGAAAUGGAUUAUAGAUACGACCUAGACCUAAUACUCAAAGUUUUAACUUUUCUAAGCAACCAAGCCAAUUCUUGGCCCCGGUCUGAUUCUAGUUCAUAUUUCACACUUAAUAUAUCUGCUUGAACACCUAAAGUCUGUAGAUGGUCUGCCGCAUCUCAAAUCUAGGCCAUAGCCUUACCCAUAAUGUAGUCACUGUCCCUAAUUUGACCCUGAGAUCGAUGGAGUUGCUCAUUACACCGCUCAUUACUUGCUUCAAAGAGCUCAACUCGGAGCUCACUAUUUUGUAACGUAAUCUCGAGUUCUUCGACCUUCCUUUUCAGUUCUUCAAUCUUAUCCAAGCUUGCCUUUAGCUCUAUUGCAGAGUUGCGGUUACGGUGCUGAUGAAACAAUUUUUCUAGUUCGGCUAUUCUGGCCUUUAACCCGAUCUUCUCAUUUUGGGCUUCCGACAGACUCUUUUCUAAGGUUUCUUUUCGACCCUAGGCGCCUUGGUAUUUUCUUUCCCAUCGAUCGACCUUGGUCUUCUCUUCUUGGAUCUCGUGUCACCAUUGUUCAGAUAUUUUUCCCAACCCCGCGGUUCUCAUUGAUAGGCGCAACUUCUUGUAAUCUUUUUUUAGGCUAUCCAAAUCUUUCUCGGCCUUAUUCUUUCCUUUCCUCUAUUUUUUGGUCUCCAAUUUCUGAACAUCGACAUCUAGCCUCAAAUGCAUCUUUUCCUCUUCUAGUUACUCUAUCUUCUUUCCAAGCUCUGCAUUCCUUCUCCUAAAGUCCUGCUUUAUGAUUCCUAAUUCUGAUGAGACCACUUGUAGAUAUUCUUCCAUCGAUCGCGUGCCCUCUUAAUUUGGCUCGAAAAUAUUAUCAUUGAUUCUCUUACUCUGCCAUCCAUUAUACUCAGGGGUUGUCAUUGGACCAACAAACCAAUCUCUUAAUCCAGAGAGUCAGAUUCUAAGAGUUGGACAUCUCUCAUAUCUUCUUCUUAUAGUUAUCCCUUUUAUAAGAAAACUCGCACUAAACUAGCCCAUAAGUUGCUGGUAUGAACUGUCUCGAUAGGUACUGUCUCAACACGAGUAAAUGGGCAUAUCCUACGGCUCCUCAAAUUCCAAGUAGGGGGACCCAGUCAAAAUCCCCACAUCGGUAUAAGAUCUCGUCGGGAACCAACCAAGGGGCUCUCCACUCGACAUCCUCUUCUUGGAGAUUUUAGAGGAUUUCCAUCCAUCUUUCCUCUGAUAUGUCAUCCUGUCUUGGUGUAGCCACUAUUUCCUUUAAUGGUGAGUAAUUCUCAGAGAACACCCGAUAUGACACAUUGUCUACCUUCCAGAAAUGGCUAUGGAACCAAGCUAGUAGCAGUUGCGCACAUCCUAUGAAUCGACCCUCACCAGCUCUUCAACAUGCAUUCAAGGUCCUGAAUGUUUCGGCUAAAAUCGCAGGAACCGGUGUAACGCUUUUAUUCAUUUAGUCAAACAGAUCAGAAAGUGUCUCGUCUACAUGCCCCAGUGCCUUAGGGAAAACUACUAACCCGUAGAUACUUAAAGCAAAAACAUCCACUCUCUUCUUCAUGUCGGGGUAUGCCAAAAUCAAGUCUCAUAAACUUUUCCAGGGAUUACAUUAACUUUCUCCUUUUUGUUUGAUCCGAGUCGUAACCUAUUGCUCACUCAUUCCGGUGAUAUUCAUCAAUUUCUUCACAAAGGUCGGAACAUUUGCGGCUCUAGAAUAGGCCUUGUCAACCUGAACCCUUGGCAAUCAAAGUAGGGUGGUAUUUUCUUCCACUGUGGGCACCAAAUCUACGCUCCCGAAGGUGAAACAACUGUAGGCCGGAUUCCAGAAUUGGGCUAAAACCCGAAAUAGAUGCUUAUCUAUCUUGAUGUCGAGUAAGUAGGAUAGAUCAUCGUAAUUGUCGUAAAAUAGCUGUUUGACUUCAUCACCCCUUUGGGCCCACAUUUUCUUCAAUUCUCGAAGAUCAUUCUGUGUCACGCUGAUACGAGUGAAGUCUCAUAACUCUGACGUAUACCUUGCUAUCAAGAUAUCUCCCUUUUCCAAUUGUGUUUUCUCCGACCAUAUACGGACGGUCGCAUUAUCCUCCACUUUUUCAAGAAAUUCGUUCUCCAUGACAAGCUCUCUAUUUAGUAAUCGAACUUGAACCGACACCCUUUUUAUAAUGACAUGCCAUGCAAUCACAAGCAAAACAACACAAGUCAGUACAAUUCAUAUGAAAUUAAAGUAAGCAAGAAACAACAAGCAAAAUACCUAUUCGGAUGAUCGCUAAUGGUUUAGUGUGGCUCUACCUAGGGUGGGCUCAUAUGGGUCAUUACAUGUGGUUCGGUUCUAAAGACAGGGUACUUGAACCAUCAGAUUCCUCGAUCCUCACCCAUUAUAGGUUCAUAUAAGUCGAGUUCAGUUUAAGGGAAUACAUUUCCCUAAGGCUAUACGGAGAUGAAAAUCUCACGAAGACAUAGGCACGGAUGUAUCCCGGAAGUGAUCCACUAUCUUAUACGGAGGUGAAAACCUCACGAAAAACUAGUUUCUCACUUCCACUUAAAGGGUAGGACCGAGCGGUCAUGCAAUGCAAUGUGAAAAAAUAUUUAAAGACUCGAACCAACAGAGCAGGUAUUAUGAUAACAGAUGAAAUGCAAUGAAAGGAUUGUAAUUUUAAAUCAAAUUAUCAAUUUUCGACCAAUAAGACAAGAAUUAAUCAAAUCGCAGUUUAACUCUCUUAUUUGUCCUUAGCGGAGUCGCCAAGUUGUCGAAACCAUUGUUUGAUUUGAAAAACGAUCGACAUUUUUUUUUGAAAUAAAAAACGGGAGUCGCCACCAAUCCUUUUUAUGAGGUGCGAUCAGGUCACCUUAUAAUUAAUCGUUCUAAUAAAACAUUGUGAUUUAUUAAAAUAGAAAUUUUGGUCUAUGAAAUUCGAUAAAAUGGGUUCUAGAGUCGGUUACGUACGAGGACGGAUCAGCAUCCUCGUAACGACUAAAAUUGGUACCUAAUUGAUUAAUUAGUGUCUAAAUGUUGAAAGUUGAAAACUCGAAAAGAAUUUGAAAUAUGAUCCUCUCUUUUUUAUUAACUUCAAUUAAAAACUUUGAGCAAAUUAAAACGAGAAUUGAAGGCCCUCUCGUCUCGAAGUAUCAAAAUGUCAUAUCCGUAAGUUAGGACACGACAUUUGAAUCCCUCGAAAGUAAGCUAGCCUUUCAAAUUGUUUUAUUUUGAAAUUGUAGUUUGAUUUUUUAAAAGGAUAUUCGGCUAUUUAGAUUCAACGAGAAUCGAAACCCCGUAAGUUAGGGCACGAUUUUCUCGAGUUACUAAAUACUGAAUAUUGUCUUUGUUUUUAUUUAUAAUUCAUGAAUUUUGAAAUUUAAGAGGAUGUUUGGAUAUUUAGACUUGACGAGAAAAUCGAAACCCCAUAAGUUAGGGUACGAUUUCUCGAACUUCCUAAAUGAAAUAUUUUCGAUUUUUUAAAAUUCCCUCCUUUUAUGAAUUUGGAUAAAAUAUGAAUGAAACAUUUAAAAUGAUAAACGUAUAGUUUAUUUGGGUUGUAUUUAAAGAGAAAUAGUUUGCAACUUAAAAGGAUCAUACGUAGCUAAUAAAGAUAAUGUAACACAUUUGAAAUAACGAUAACAUAAUAUGCAUAAUAGAAUUUAACCCAUAUAGCAUUAAUAUUAUCGAAUCCUAAUGUAAACAUGCAUAAACAAUAAUAAGAAUAAUUUAAGACCUGGAAGCAAGGCAAUAAACGAAUAGAUAAUAAUAAAAAAGAAAGUAAUUAAACAAAGGGCAAGAAUAUAAGAAAUAAAACAAGCCAAUAGAAAAAUAAAUAGGGAACCAAUAUAAGUUUGAUUUAAAAAAAAAUUGAAUUAAAUAAUUAAAUGAAACAUUAAUUAAAAAUACGAGUGUAAAAUAAAACAAAAACAAAUAUUGAAAUAAAAAAAUAAAAAGAAAUCAAAACAAGGGCUUGUUUGAAAACUAAACAAGAUUUGAGGGACAAAAAGAAGGAAUAGAAUAAAAUAAUGGACCCAAACUGUAAUGCGCAAAAAGGAAAGGAACUUAUCAGGAAAUUAUCCCUGGGCUCACUAAACGCACAAUUCCAGAGGGGUUAAAUUAGAAACGAAAUAAAUUAGUAGGGUAAAAAUAAAAAAAUGAAAGGAACUAGAUAGUAAAAACAGAAAAUGCGGAGGGAUUUAAACAACAAUUUGCCCACUUGGGCCUUGAAAACACGCGAAUCUUCCGCUGAACGGGUUGGGUCACGUGGGUCACAUGCCAAACGACGUCAUUUUGACCAUUGGAAAUCAAAUUCAAAAAGGCGUCGUAUAGACUAGUUAUAAAGUCCAAAUUUUCUAAAAAAAAAAAUCAUUUGUGCUAUACUUUUAAAAAAAAGAACAAAGGGGUUGUCCUCUAUUUCUCCCUAGGCAUGGUCUUGGGGUUUGGUUAAACUCCGUCGGCUAUCCACCGUUGCUGGCGAUGGUGACCACCGCAGGUGGUGGCCGAAGGGACGCCUGGAGCCCUAACUAGGCCCUUCUUUCACGUAGAAGAAGAUUCAGGACCACAAAACCCCAAAACCUAAAACAACCACAAAAAUCUCGAUCCUUGGCCUCCUCCGUCAUAGCUUUAACCGAAUCUCCAGGGAUCCAUCAGCUUUUGGACCAGAGAAGCAGACGCCGAGGAUAUCAACGCUAAAUAUGGGUAAAAUCUUCCUUUUUUUUUACGAAUUUGCGUGGUGGAUUCAAAAUAAAAUAAAAAAGGAAAAUAAAAAUAGAAAAUGAACAAAUGAACAAAUGAACCACCGUUGAAAUGUGUUCAAUUUCUCUGUAUUGAUUUCAUAUUCCCUCUGUUCGUCAGUAUCCAAAACAAUAUUGAAAAGUUUUAGGCUUUUUAUAGCCGAAAGAGAAUAAAAACAAAAUUUGCUCCUUUUGCUUGUUGUUUUGCUGUUGUUUUCUUGUGUUUACAUGCAAGUACGGAGGCCAGUUGGCGUGGUGAUACGUGGCACUUGGCAUGGGGUGUAAGGAGGCUACGCUAGAAGCUAGUUGUUGCGCAAACAGAAAACCUAAGGUUUCUGUGAAUAAUCUGGUCUUGGGCCAAAUUUGUUUUGUUUUGAGUAUUGGGUUAUGGGUUUGUUUGGGUUUAGGGAUAACUUGGGCCUGGUGUACUGGAUUUAGUUUAUUCUGUUUGGUUAUUUUAUUUUUUUGGGCCAGCAUUUUGUAAUUGGACUAUAGUGGACAUUUAAUUGCUUUUUUUUUAUUUAUUAUUAUUUUGUAAUUUGGUUUUAGUAUGGUCCCAGGCAAAUUAGCCUGUUACAUACUUAAUUUUUAUUAAUAUAUCAAACAUUUUUAUAAUAUAAAUUUAAUACUUAUAAAAUUCAAUAUUUAUAUUUUCAGCAUUUAAUUUUUCAAUUGAAGAAACAUAUCCUUAGUGUAAAUAAUUAACUUCCUUAAUGGUUUUACUAGUUCGGUUUUUCUUAUGAUUAGUUUAUAAACAAUGCCUGCUUACAAACCUAGAAAGGGUUAAAAGAGGAAUUAACCAAACAAAAGUAUGUCCAAUGUGCCAAUACGAAACAAAAGACACUUUACAUAUUCUCAGAGACUGUCCAAUAGCUAAGGAUAUCUGGAAAUUGAUUGUGCCGAAAGCAAGAUGGUCUCAGUUUUUCUCUUAACAAUUUAUUUGAAUUGGUCAGAACAAACUUAGGAAGUCAUGGGCAGCUGACGAGGCAUGGAGUCCCUUGGUCAACGCUUUUUGGAAUACUAAUUUGGCGAUUAUGGAAAAAUAAUAAUCACUUUAUUAUCGAAAUGCUCCCAUAAAAUUCUGUAGAAAUUAUUAAAAUAUCAACAAGUUGGGCGUAGUAUAACGCAAUUAGUAGUUGGAUUCCAUCUAGGAAUAGUAAUUUAGAUGAUGUCUCCAAGAAUUGUUUAAAUAGUAGGGUAGGAGAAUGUUAGUUUUAAUAAAAGUAAUUUAGGAUUUAUUAGAUUAACUGAUAAUAUAGAGGUUUCUAUAAGAUUAAAAUAAAAAUUUGACCAAAGGAAGCCUAUGGGUAUAUAUAGAAUAUAGUUUUUUUUUAUUAUUUAAAUAGAAUAGUAGAUUAUGUAGGUAUAUAAGAGCUAUAUCAGAUAUAGAUAUGGAUACAGGGAGAAUCUGAAACUUACAACCAAACAGCCAUGAACCCAAUCGCAGCUACCCAACUCAGCAUUCAAACAUCUCAUAUUCCACUUCAUCUUAUCUUUCCUUCCACCACUAGUCCUUCCCUCCUCCGAAUCUAAAACUCAUCCUUCCCCUUCUCUCUCAAAUCCUCCUCCCCUCCUUCUUCACCACACACCACAACUACUAUACUCCCAAAAUGUCUCUUACAAUCCCCACUAACCUCUCCAAAUCCCUUUUGAAGCCAAAGCUAAACUCCAAACUCACCCCCAAAGUUUCACGAUCAUUGGUGGUAUGCUCCACCGACAAGACUUCAUCGCCACCAUCAUCAGCUUCAUCACUCCAAGCCUUCUCAGCAGCUCUUGCUCUUUCUUCCAUUCUUCUCUCAGCCCCACAGCCUGCCGUAGCUGAUAUUGCAGGCCUCACACCAUGCAAAGAGUCCAAGCAAUUCGCCAAACGUGAGAAGCAGCAGAUCAAGAAGCUGGAAUCGUCGUUGAAGCUAUACGCCCCUGACAGCGCUCCAGCUCUCGCUAUCAAAGCAACCAUCGAGAAAACCAAGAGACGGUUUGACAACUACGGGAAGUACGGGCUGCUGUGUGGGUCUGAUGGGUUGCCUCAUUUGAUAGUAAGCGGUGAUCAGAGGCACUGGGGUGAGUUCAUCACGCCUGGUCUCUUGUUCUUGUACAUCGCUGGAUGGAUCGGGUGGGUUGGAAGGAGCUACCUCAUUGCUAUUAGCGAUGAUAAGAAGCCUGCCAUGAAGGAGAUCAUCAUUGAUGUGCCUUUGGCUACCGGUCUUAUAUUUAGAGGCUUUAUUUGGCCAGUCGCUGCUUACAGAGAGCUUAUCAAUGGUGACCUUGUUGUCAAGGACGUUUAAUCUCCUCAGGUCCUUCUUCUCUUUCUCUUCAAAAAAAUUCCCCCUUUUUUUUAUUUUUUAUUUUACGCUAAUUCAAGCAUGUUUUUGCCUUAUAGUGUAAGGGUUAACAUGUGUUGGCCAUAUUCCAUCUAAUGAUGUUGAACCUUACUAUUCUGAAGUAGUAAAUUACUAAUCUGAAAUAGUGUGUCAUAAAACCUUGCAAUCUUAUAUUCCGAAUCCAAUUUUACACCCUAAAAUUCGAUAUUUUCAUUUAUUAAUCAUAUUAGUAACAUUUUUUUUAUUUAAAAAAUAUCACAUUAAACUUCAAUUAUUGAAUCAAAUAAUAGAUUCUUGAGAUUAAAAAUAGAAGUAGUAAUUUCAAAUGAGUAGAAGGUAAAGGGAUCGAGAGUAUAAUUAUAUCACCAUACUCACAUCUAAGCUUAUAUGAUUAUAACUCGUCUUAUUAUCGUUGUAAUAUUCUAAAUUUUAAAAAGAAUGGUGAAAUUAACGAAGAAAGGAAAUAGAAGAACACACAAAUUGCCUUCAUUUUUUUGGUGUAUUAAUUUUGGUUUUUAUUUUUAC